rnacentral:rRNA from 1 species
UACGUAGGGGGCAAGCGUUGUCCGGAUUUACUGGGCGUAAAGGGCGCGUAGGCGGGAAGGAAAGUCAAAUGUGAAAUUCCGGUGCUCAACAUCGGAACUGCAUUUGAAACUCCCUUUCUUGAGGGUAGACGGAGAAAGCGGAAUUCCACGUGUAGCGGUGAAAUGCGUAGAUAUGUGGAAGAACACCUGUGGCGAAAGCGGCUUUCUAGUUUAUACCUGACGCUGAGGCGCGAGAGUGAGGGGAGCAAACAGG